rnacentral:rRNA from 1 species
AGAGUUUGAUCAUGGCUCAGAUUGAACGCUGGCGGCAGGCCUAACACAUGCAAGUCGAGCGGUAACACAGAGAGCUUGCUCUCGGGUGACGAGCGGCGGACGGGUGAGUAAUGUCUGGGAAACUGCCUGAUGGAGGGGGAUAACUACUGGAAACGGUAGCUAAUACCGCAUAACGUCGCAAGACCAAAGUGGGGGACCUUCGGGCCUCAUGCCAUCAGAUGUGCCCAGAUGGGAUUAGCUAGUAGGUGGGGUAAUGGCUCACCUAGGCGACGAUCCCUAGCUGGUCUGAGAGGAUGACCAGCCACACUGGAACUGAGACACGGUCCAGACUCCUACGGGAGGCAGCAGUGGGGAAUAUUGCACAAUGGGCGCAAGCCUGAUGCAGCCAUGCCGCGUGUAUGAAGAAGGCCUUCGGGUUGUAAAGUACUUUCAGCGAGGAGGAAGGCGUUAAGGUUAAUAACCUUGGCGAUUGACGUUACUCGCAGAAGAAGCACCGGCUAACUCCGUGCCAGCAGCCGCGGUAAUACGGAGGGUGCAAGCGUUAAUCGGAAUUACUGGGCGUAAAGCGCACGCAGGCGGUCUGUCAAGUCGGAUGUGAAAUCCCCGGGCUCAACCUGGGAACUGCAUUCGAAACUGGCAGGCUAGAGUCUUGUAGAGGGGGGUAGAAUUCCAGGUGUAGCGGUGAAAUGCGUAGAGAUCUGGAGGAAUACCGGUGGCGAAGGCGGCCCCCUGGACAAAGACUGACGCUCAGGUGCGAAAGCGUGGGGAGCAAACAGGAUUAGAUACCCUGGUAGUCCACGCCGUAAACGAUGUCGACUUGGAGGUUGUGCCCUUGAGGCGUGGCUUCCGGAGCUAACGCGUUAAGUCGACCGCCUGGGGAGUACGGCCGCAAGGUUAAAACUCAAAUGAAUUGACGGGGGCCCGCACAAGCGGUGGAGCAUGUGGUUUAAUUCGAUGCAACGCGAAGAACCUUACCUACUCUUGACAUCCAGAGAACUUAGCAGAGAUGCUUUGGUGCCUUCGGGAACUCUGAGACAGGUGCUGCAUGGCUGUCGUCAGCUCGUGUUGUGAAAUGUUGGGUUAAGUCCCGCAACGAGCGCAACCCUUAUCCUUUGUUGCCAGCGGUCCGGCCGGGAACUCAAAGGAGACUGCCAGUGAUAAACUGGAGGAAGGUGGGGAUGACGUCAAGUCAUCAUGGCCCUUACGAGUAGGGCUACACACGUGCUACAAUGGCAUAUACAAAGAGAAGCGACCUCGCGAGAGCAAGCGGACCUCAUAAAGUAUGUCGUAGUCCGGAUUGGAGUCUGCAACUCGACUCCAUGAAGUCGGAAUCGCUAGUAAUCGUAGAUCAGAAUGCUACGGUGAAUACGUUCCCGGGCCUUGUACACACCGCCCGUCACACCAUGGGAGUGGGUUGCAAAAGAAGUAGGUAGCUUAACCUUCGGGAGGGCGCUUACCACUUUGUGAUUCAUGACUGGGGUGAAGUCGUAACAAGGUAACCGUAGGGGAACCUGCGGUUGGAUCACCUCCUUA